UACAGAGGUCCCAAGCGUUGUUCGGAUUCACUGGGCGUAAAGGGUGCGUAGGCGGUUGGGUAAGUCUGUCGUGAAAUCUCCGAGCCUAACUCGGAAACUGCGUCGGAUACUAUUCAACUCGAGGAAUGGAGGGGAGACUGGAAUUCUCGGUGUAGCAGUGAAAUGCGUAGAUAUCGAGAGGAACACCGGUGGCGAAGGCGAGUCUCUGGACAUUUCCUGACGCUGAGGCACGAAAGCCAGGGGAGCAAACGGG
rnacentral:rRNA from 1 species